rnacentral:lncRNA from 1 species
GAUGUUAGGCUAGAUGCAAAGUCGAUAUCGACAUAUUUCUGGCUAGAUGCAACGCAGACAUCGAUAUCUUUCUCUAAUUUACUAAUCGUGGACCUAAUCCAUAUUUCUGGAAUUUGUCAAACGUCUUACUAUUUAAUUCUAUACUAAUUGUAUAGUAAAAUCAAACCGUUUUGUGAACGUCAAACGUUUUGAUUGUCAACAUAAUAAAUGUCAAUAAUUUUUUUUAUUAGUUGCAUAAACCAUGUUUUGGUUUAGCACAGUAUCUUUUGAGAAACUGUUAUAAUCAACAUGUUUUUCUUCUUCUUCUUACCUCUCUAACCUAAUAAUAAGAAAAAAUACCUAAAAGGUAGACAAAAUAUUCUGAUAAAAAUAAUAGUCAAAAUCGAUCUGCAUAUUUUAGCUCCUUUCUUUUUUUCACUAGUGGAAAUCUCCUAA